rnacentral:lncRNA from 1 species
ACCAGCAGCAUAUGGAGGUUCCCAGGCUAGGGGCUGAAUCAGAGCCACAGCAAUGCCAGAUCUGAACUGCAUCUGCAACCUACACCAUAGCUCAUGGCAAUGCUGAUCCUUAACACACUGAGUGAGGCCAGGGAUCAAACUCGAGUCCUCAUGGAUAUCAGUCAGGUUUGUUUACCGCUGAGCCAUGACAGAAACUACCUUGAAUGUCUUAUUUAGAGUAUUGGAGUAUUGGAGUUCCCGUCGUGGCUCAGUGGUUAACGAAUCCAACUAGGAACCAUGAGGUUGCGGGUUCAAUCCUUGGCCUUGCUCAGUGGAUUAAGGAUCUGGCGUUGCCGUGAGCUGUGGUGUAAGCCAGUGGCUAUGGCUCCAAUUCAACUCCUAGCCUGGGAACCUCCAUAUGCCGCAAGGGAGCGGCCCUAGAAAAGGCAAAAAGACAACAACAACAACAACAACAACAACAAAAAUAGAUUUACUAUUAUCCCAUUUAAUCACUACAGAGACUUAUUCUAGGAAGUCUUUAGUAACUCACAGUUAGGUGAGGUUUUGUAUUAUUCUUAGAAUGUUACUUAUAGUUACCUGUUUUAUUGUUAUUAAACCUGUUAUUUAAAAACAUAGGCAAUAAAAUACAGUUCACUCUAAACUCCACUUUUUUUCAUCACACAAUUACAUUAGAAAACAAGAAGCCUUCUGCUACAAUGAGAUAAUACAACCCCUAGGUGUUCAAAGACACAUGGCAAACAAUGCCUGAAAUGGGAAUGUUAUCUUACAGUAAAAUAUGCCUACCUCUGAGGGUUUUGUUUUACCACUGCUAAUGUGCUUUUAGAAUUAUGACAGAGAUGUACCUAUAGGAAUGCCAUUGACUGACAAAUCAUUACAUACAGAACAGCCAGAGGGGAAAAAAUGACACUAAGAAUUCAAAACAAGACAGUGAGUGCAUUUUGAAAUGAAUUUUGAAAGGCAUAUUACAUGCAAAUUAAAACCUUCUUUUUUGAAAACUGCCAUAACUGUUUUCCUUGAUUGUAAUGAGGCAUUUGGUAGAAUUAAGUAUUUGAUAUCUAUAAAUCAUUUAAAACAGAGAAUGAAGAGCUGAGGUUAUUGGUGUGUGAUGAGUUGCCUCUGAACUUACUCAGGGAAUGAGGUUUUAAAGAUGUGAUUCUGUGAGUUCUCCACGGAACAGGACACAGUUUUUCAUAAGGGAAGAUAAGCAUUCUGUCUGAACUGAGAGUUUUAGAAUGCAGAGAACUUAUAAUUAAAGAGAGAGCUUAGAAAUCAUACAGAACAAAUCCUUCACAUAACAGUUUCUCCUUUCAUUCAUGUGCUUUAUGUCUUGCUCAAAGUUAUCAGCAGUCCUAGUCAUACCAACUCUGAUUCACUCUUGUAUUACCCCCAGUAAGAAACAUCUACUAGAAUAUCCGGAAAGGGCUUCAAACUGCUCUACCUCACCAGGAAGUCCCUGGGAGUUCCUGUUGUGGCUCAGCAGAAACAAAUCUGACCAGUAUCCAUGAGGAUGCAGGCUCAAUCUCUGGCCUCGCUCAGUGGGUUAAGGAUCCAGUGUUGCCAUGAACUGUAGUACAGGUCACAGACAUGGCUUGGAUUUGGAACUCCUGUGGCUGUGGCAUAGGCUGGCGGCUACAGCUCCAUUUCGACCCCUAGCCUGAGAAUCUCCAUAUGCCACAGAUGCAGCCCUAAAAUAAAAAAUAAAAAUAAAAAUAAAAAUAAAGGAAAAACACUCGAAGAAUCUGCGAGUUGUUAGGAACCAAGAAGUUACCUCUUUAUACAUUUCCUGCUUUGUUUUUUAAAAGUAAUGUAUGGUGGCUUUAGAUAUCAACUAACGAAAUCUUUUUACCUUUAAUUUUAUUGAAAUAUAAUUCAUUUACUAUAUUGUAUUAAUUUCUAUUAUACAUUAAAGUGACUCAGUUAUACAUAUAUAUAUAUUCUCCUUCAUAUUCUUUUCCAUUAUGGUUUAUUACUGGAUAUUGAGUAUAUUUCCCUGUGCUAUAAAGUAGGACCUUGUUGUUUAUCCAUCCUAUAUAUACUGGUUUGCACCUGCUAAAUCCAAAUUCCCAGUCCUUCCCUACUCCAUUCUCCUAUGCCACAAGUCUUGGUAACCACAAAUCUGUUCUCUAUGUCUGUGAGUCUGUUCCUAUUUCAUAAAUACGUUCAAUUGUGUCAUAUUUUAGAUUGCACAUAUUAAUGGUAUGGUAUUUGCCUUUCUUUUUCUGACUUACUUCAGUUAGGAUGAUAAUUUCUAGGUCCAUCUGUGUAGCGCAAAUGGCAUUAUUUUAUUCUUUUAUACAGCUGAGUAAUGUUCCAUUUUUUAUAUAUACACCAUACCAUAUCUUCUUUAUCCAGAUAUGAUAUCCAAUGUCAUCUGUUGAUAGACAUUUAGGUUGCUUUCAUGUCUUGGCUACUGUAAAUGGUGUGGCUAUGAACACAGAGGUGUACCUUUCAAAUUAUAGUUUUGUCCAGAUGUAUGCCCAGGAGUGGGGUUGCUGGAUCAUACGGCAACUCUGAUUUUAGAUUUUUGAGGACCUUCAUACUGUUUUCCACAGUGUCUGCGCUAAUUUACAUUCCCAUCAACAGUACAAGGUUUCCUUUUCUCCACACCCUCUCCAACAUUUAUUACUUAUAGACUUUUUAAUGAUGGCCAUUCUGACCAGUGUCAGGUGGUACCUCAUUAUAGUUUUCAUUUGCAUUUCUCCAGUAAUUAGCAAUGAUGAGCAUCUUUU